UAGGGCGUGGCCAAGUGGUAAGGCACAGGGUUUUGGUCCCUGGACCGGUGGUUCGAAUCCACCCGCCCUAGCCA
rnacentral:tRNA from 1 species